rnacentral:rRNA from 1 species
AUGCCUAGUACGGCGAGUGAGCGGCAACAGCUCAAAUUUGAAAGCUGGCUCCGGCCCGCGUUGUAAUUUGCAGAGGAUGCUUCUGGCGAGGUGCCUUCCGAGUUCCCUGGAACGGGACGCCAUAGAGGGUGAGAGCCCCGUAUGGAUGGACACCAAACCUGUGUGAAGCUCCUUCAACGAGUCGAGUAGUUUGGGAAUGCUGCUCUAAAUGGGAGGUAAAUCUCUUCUAAAGCUAAAUACCGGCCAGAGACCGAUAGCGCACAAGUAGAGUGAUCGAAAGAUGAAAAGCACCUUGAAAAGGGGGUUAAACAGUACGUGAAAUUGUUGAAAGGGAAGCGCUUGUGACCAGACUUGCGCCGGGCAGCUCAUCAGGGGUUCUCCCCUGUGCACUCUGCCCGGCUCAGGCCAGCAUCGGUUCUCGUGGGAGGAUAAGAACGGUAGGAACGUGGCCCCCCUUCGGGGGGGUGUUAUAGCCUGCCGUACGAUACUCCCGUGGGGACCGAGGUUCGCGCUCCGCAAGGAUGCUGGCGUAAUGGUCAUCAGCGACCCGUCUU